rnacentral:snoRNA from 1 species
AAUCAAUGAUGAAAAUAGCCAAAUCUGAGCAUCAGAAGACCUUCCAGUCUACCGGAUACAUCUUGCUUUUAAAA